rnacentral:lncRNA from 1 species
UGCAUGCAUUUCCAAUUUUGUUAAUUUAAGUUAAGGUUUUUAUAUAACGUAUAGGAAAAUAGUCAACCAGAAAAAGCAAAGAUGAAUAGAACACAAUGAGUUUAUACCCCCCACAAAGAAAAAAUAACAGAGUAUCAUGUAAUGCUUUCCUUCUUACAAAUUCGGCUUUUGUCUAUAUUGAAUGACAAUUAAUACUCACAUAUAUAUAGAUAAUUUCUUGUAUAUGUUAUAUGGAAACUUACAAUUAUAAAAACUAAAAAACAAUAUUUGGUUUCCCUUUUAUAGCAUUUGAAAAAAUUUGAAUUUAAUAAGAAGGAAUUCUAGGGUGAGCUUCUUAAAAUAAGACUUUCUUCAACUCUAAUUACACAACACACUACUAUAAUUACAGAAAUUACUCAAUCAUGCAAAACAAUACUCAAUUACACAAAUUAUUGCAAUUUAUGUAAUAUUUUGCGUUAUUAUAAUUAUGCAAAAUAUUAUUCAAUUACACAAGACAUUGUCAAUUUAGACAAAUUAUUACAAUUUCAUAAUGUUUUGUUUAAACUCAAUUAUAUGAACU